rnacentral:rRNA from 1 species
GAUGAACGCUGGCGGCGUGCUUAACACAUGCAAGUCGAACGGAAAGGCUCCUGCUUGCAGGGGUACUCGAGUGGCGAACGGGUGAGUAACACGUGGGUGAUCUGCCCUGCACUUCGGGAUAAGCCUGGGAAACUGGGUCUAAUACCGGAUAGGACGAUGGUUUGGAUGCCAUUGUGGAAAGUUUUUCGGUGUGGGAUGAGCUCGCGGCCUAUCAGCUUGUUGGUGGGGUAAUGGCCUACCAAGGCGUCGACGGGUAGCCGGCCUGAGAGGGUGUACGGCCACAUUGGGACUGAGAUACGGCCCAGACUCCUACGGGAGGCAGCAGUGGGGAAUAUUGCACAAUGAGCGCAAGCCUGAUGCAGCGACGCCGCGUGGGGGAUGACGGCCUUCGGGUUGUAAACUCCUGUCGCUAGGGACGAAGCGCAAGUGACGGUACCUGGAGAAGAAGCACCGGCUAACUACGUG